UACGGGGGGUGCGAGCGUUGUCCGGAAUCACUGGGCGUAAAGGGCGCGUAGGUGGUCUUAUAAGUCUGUGGUGAAAGCCCGGGGCUCAACCCCGGGUCUGCCGCGGAUACUGCAAGACUUGAGUACUGUAGAGGCGGGUAGAAUGCCGGGUGUAGCGGUGGAAUGCGUAGAGAUCCGGCAGAAGACCGGUGGCGAAGGCGGCCCGCUGGGCAGUAACUGACACUGAUGCGCGACAGCGUGGGGAGCAAACAGG
rnacentral:rRNA from 1 species